rnacentral:rRNA from 1 species
UGGGGAAUUUUGGACAAUGGGCGAAAGCCUGAUCCAGCAAUGCCGCGUGUGUGAAGAAGGCCUUCGGGUUGUAAAGCACUUUUGUCCGGAAAGAAAUCCUUGGCUCUAAUACAGUCGGGGGAUGACGGUACCGGAAGAAUAAGCACCGGCUAACUACGUGCCAGCAGCCGCGGUAAUACGUAGGGUGCAAGCGUUAAUCGGAAUUACUGGGCGUAAAGCGUGCGCAGGCGGUUUGCUAAGACCGAUGUGAAAUCCCCGGGCUCAACCUGGGAACUGCAUUGGUGACUGGCAGGCUAGAGUAUGGCAGAGGGGGGUAGAAUUCCACGUGUAGCAGUGAAAUGCGUAGAGAUGUGGAGGAAUACCGAUGGCGAAGGCAGCCCCCUGGGCCAAAUACUGACGCUCAUGCACGAAAAGCGUGGGGAGCAAAACAGGAUUAGAUACCCUGGUAGUCCACGCCCUAAACGAUGUCAACUAGUUGUUGGGGAUUCAUUUCCUUAGUAACGUAGCUAACGCGUGAAGUUGACCGCCUGGGGAGUAGGUCGCAAGAUUAAAACUCAAAUGAAUUGACGGGGUCAUAGCU